rnacentral:rRNA from 1 species
AUGGCGAAUCAUGGCGAUCCAGCGGCUUCGGGAUCAAAAGGAAAGGGCAAGCUGGAGGGGCUGAUGAAAGAGCUGGCCCUGAAGGAAGAUGACCUCGGUGACGUCGUUUUUGAGGAAGAUGACGCCCCAGCGGAGGAGGAACUCCGUUGGAUGAUCUUGGCUAGGGUACACAUAGACAAAGGGUUUAGUACCUACUGGUUCUUACGCAACAUGAGGACAGCGUGGGACCUCGCUAGGCCGGUGAAAAUCAAAACCCUAGAGGAUAACCUCUUCCAAAUGCAAUUCAACUGCCUGGGUGAUUGGGAGAGAGUUACCCAAGGGGGGCCGUGGCACUUCCAAGGAAACCCGGUCCGCAUCAUCGAUCUUCCUACCGGCUUCCAUGGGAAAGUAAAGGCUCUUGCUGCCAAGAAUGGCGAGUUUGUGGAUUCAGAGCCAUCUUCUUUUGACUUUGAAGGAAACUUCUACAGAGUUAUGGUCCGCCUUGAUGUGAGAAACCGUCUCAAGAAAGUGAUCUCGGUGAUCCGUGGAGGAGAGAGGGUGAUCUUCGCGGUAAAGUAUGAGCGUCUACCUGACUGGUGCCAGGUCUGCGGCAUGAUGGGUCACGAGUUCAAGGAGCAUGGGGACGGACUCCACCCCCCUCAACGCUAA